GCCCUGUGCCCUGGCAUUAUGCUCUGAGACCACCUCCCUCUCAGCAGGGGCUCCACAAAUCCUUGCAAAAACCUGACAUGCGAGAGGCAGUGAAGUGGAACCAUGUGCAAAACAUCAAAAGUGACUCACAGGAAGUUGAUAAAGCAGUGAAUCUGCGCAGCAAACAGACUGCUGCUAUUUUGGACCCUCAAAGAUGAAAAAAAAAAAAGGCAAUAAGCCCUGUAAUAUCCACCUGAAAAAGCUAUGCAGAUCUAUCAGCUUCCUAGGACGGAUGUCAAGAUUGUGAAAGGAAGAGCAAACCCAGGCAACACAGAGGGAAGACUUUGAGGGAUGCCUGAUCGGGCCUUGAUGUGGUGGCAAAGCGGUGUGGUCCAGGAGACAGGACCAUGAGUACCCACCAAGGUCCAGAACUGCCGAGCACACAGCAGUCCCUCUGCCAGGCGAGGCAGGACGCCUCUGAACAUAGCCAGAGACACCCUCAGCUGCGCCAGCCCCUCCUUUCAGCGUGGCAACACGUGGGCACCACAUCUACUGCCGCUUGGCAAUGCUGAGCCCAAGUGUCUGACAUCUGUGAGUGCGCAAGCUGCCUGACGGAGGGACCUCGAGCUGUAGACUCAUGUUGGAAACGUGUUGGGGUAAGAAGCAGCCCUUCACAUCUCUGUUAAACCCCAUCGCUGCAGGGCUCACUGGAAGAGCCACGUGCGUUCUCCUGCAGAGACCUCACUGCUUCUUAAGCCUCCGUCAGGGGUUUCCAGAGGAGACUGUCUUGGCCACUUCCAGUCCAGAGCUGCCUAGCAUCAUGACUUACCAUGCCCCAGGAAGUCAGAAGCAGUGUCGACAUUAUAAAUAUAAGCUGGCUUGGACUCUCAGCUACCCAGCGGGAACUGCAAGGCCAGUUAAAGCGUGCACAGUUUCACAGUAAGUGACAGGAGAAAUCUGCUCUUGAAGGAGAAACCCUAGAGAUGCUUGUGUUUAUGUGUGCCUGAAGAAACAGAGGCUUCUCCUCUGCAGAUCAAGAUCCUAAAGGCUUUGUUUCCCCUUCACUGCAAAAUCCCUAACCAUCUACAGUAAAAAUUUCAGUUCGAAAGUGAGUCAUUUUGGGAGUGGGCCCACAGAGCUCUUCUCACCUGUACACCCCCGACCGCCAAGCUCGUGGAAGAAUCCCUGCAAAAGCUGCUCCUCAUUCAGGGAUUGGCCUGAAUCAUGGCUCUCUCAAGUACUAACAGAAGCUGGUACCUGACGUGGCGCUUGGGGGCACACCGUUAUACCAUCAGACCAACUGCAUUCCUCACAUAACCCACCAGUGAGCCACAGAGCUGAGGAGGUGAAGCAUUGUUAACACAAGCCAUCAGAGGGAACAGUGUGUAGCCUGCAGUGAGGGAUCUCCUACACUCAUGCAGGGUGAAACCUUGCGGUUAGUUUGCAGAGGCUCAGAGUCGACAGCUCACAGAACGGGGGGUUCCAGGCAAGAUUUCAAGAAAGACAAUUAGUCAGUUGGGCAGUUCACUGUGCAACCACUAUAAAGAAAUCCAGCACAAUGGGCCCUAACUUAGAUGGCAGCUCAGUCUACUGCAUGGAUGUGCUGUCUGCACAAAGCCUGAGAAUGGUGCACAGAGCCGAGACGAAGGCAGUACAUUCAUCUACGUGCAUGGUUACUUGUGCUCCAGUGACCUCUCAGCAGAAGCAUUUCUGCACACACUGAGGGCAUUGCAAUGGAGAGGCAUUAACCUCUCAGCUGUAGCUGUUGACAGGUUUCAACUAAAUCAUGGAAAAGUUCUUCUUCUACACAGUUAAAGAGACUUGCCUGAGGUCUCAUGGUGGGCAGAAGAAGAAAAGGAAAUUAAACCUAGAUCUUCCCACUCUGUCUGGCCACUGGACCAUCCUUCCUACCUUAAAACUACAUUUUAAACUAACACUGCCUA
rnacentral:lncRNA from 1 species